GACGAACGCUGGCGGCGUGCCUAAUACAUGCAAGUUGAGCGCUGAAGGUUGGUACUUGUACCCACUGGAUGAGCAGCGAACGGGUGAGUAACGCGUGGGGAAUCUGCCUUUGAGCGGGGGACAACAUUUGGAAACGAAUGCUAAUACCGCAUAAAAACUUUAAACACAAGUUUUAAGUUUGAAAGAUGCAAUUGCAUCACUCAAAGAUGAUCCCGCGUUGUAUUAGCUAGUUGGUGAGGUAAAGGCUCACCAAGGCGAUGAUACAUAGCCGACCUGAAAGGGGGAGCGGCCACAAUGGGACGGGGACACGGCCCAAACUCCUACGGGAGGGAGCAGUAGGGAAUCUUCGGGAAUGGACGAAAGUCUGACCGGGCAACGCCGCGUGAGUGAAGAAGGUUUUCGGAUCGUAAAACUCUGUUGGUAGAGAAGAACGUUGGGGAGAGUGGAAAGCUCAUCAAGUGACGGUAACUACCCAGAAAGGGACGGCUAACUACGUG
rnacentral:rRNA from 1 species